CGGACACCAUUGAUGUUGCGAGUGGAGGGCGGCAGCAAAGAUCAUCAGGAUGUGAAUGCUAAGGAGGAGUUCCCUGGACUGGGAAUGAGAACUGUCAUCCACGUCUCCCCAAUUCGUUCCUGCAGCAGUAACAAUAAUAAUAAUAAAAAUGUCGUCAAGGGUUACGAAAGUUGCAAUGUGUAUUAUAUAAGUGGGCAGGGGAAGGAACUACUGCUUGAUUUUUAUAUUCCAGUUGUGUUUUUUCCGUCCUUGCAUGUAUUCCAUUUUCUUGUACUGUGGUUUCAUCCCUUUGAAUGCUAUCUUGUGCGCCUAGUAGAUGAACUCCCACUCUUUGCUUUCUUCCUCUCUUCUGCAAUUGUUCCACAAAAAGCCUCAUCCUGCAACUCACGCUUAUUUGUUUGCCUUUUAAGAUAAAGCAAAGUAAAAAUUAUUUUUAAAUGAAAAAAAUAUAUAUUUUUAUAUUUUUUCUGAAAAUGAAUCAUACUCUACCACAAAUUUUCAAUAAUGUAAUUUUAACGGAAGGCCCACUAUUGGUUCCUAUAAUUUGAUAACCCAAAUGGAAACGACGUCGUUUUUGCCAGGUGGACAGAACAAGGCACGUUUCAGUCUGCAGAAAGGUUGGAUUCACCCAUUCUGCAACGAUACACGGAUAAACGAACCCUCUUCGUUUCUAGGGUUAGGGUUUGGGAAUCAAAAUGGAAGCUGCGAGAGGAGAAAAAGAUGGUGGAUUGCUACGCACACUUCGACCACCGCGUCUCGAAGACGCCGGUCUGGAAGACUGCGCCCUCCCUCCUGAUUCCAUCAAAGAAGCCUUCCUCA
rnacentral:lncRNA from 1 species